GGGUUAAAACAGGUAUGUUUGUUCUGUCUUUUUUCAGGCACACAUGGUGUUCAGACCUAACUAUCAAAACAAUGCAAUGGCAGCUUAGAAAAACAAGAAGGUUUUUAAGGUGACGCGUGGGAAGAACUCUAAAGAUCUCAAUGAAUUUUAUUGCCUGCUGCAUGAUAUCUCGGCAAAACUGGAGUGUGCAAACCAAAUAUCAUGUCAGCUCAAUCUGUAAAGGAACUACGCAGUCAGGUCAGGAAGUUUUGAUGUUGUCUAAAUGAUUCCAUUUUCACCCCUGGCCCCAUGCCCAAAGAUCAGGAAGGACUGCAAUAUUCGUAUAUUAAUCUGUACAUUACAAGACAGAAG